rnacentral:misc_RNA from 1 species
AACGCACAUUGCGCCCCUUGGUAUUCCAUUGGGCAUGCCUGUUCGAGCGUCAUUUUCCAUCUUCAAGCACUGCUUGGUGUUGGGCGUUUGUUUGUGUGUAUUACAUGAACUCGCCUUAAAAGUAUUGGCAGCAGCUUACCAGCCUUCCGCGCAGCACAAUGCGCUCUAUAAGGUUUUGGCAGGCAGGCGUCCACAAGAUAUUUAUUGAUUGACCUCGAAUCAGGUAGGGAUACCCGCUGAACUUAA